rnacentral:rRNA from 1 species
UACGUAGGGUGCAAGCGUUGUCCGGAAUUAUUGGGCGUAAAGAGCUCGUAGGCGGUCUGUCGCGUCUGCUGUGAAAACUCGAGGCUCAACCUCGAGACGUCGGUUGAAACCGUACGGCUAGAGUCCGGAAGAGGAGAGUGGAAUUCCCGGUGUAGCGGUGAAAUGCGCAGAUAUCGGGAAGAACACCCCGUGGCGAAGGCGGCUCUCUGGGACGGUACUGACGCUGAGACGAGAAAGCGGUGGGGAGCGAACAGG